CCCACUAGUCCUGCUUCCCUUUCCCUGCUCCGGCCAACGAAGGGAAACAAGGGUCGGCGGGAUGGGGAUGCAAUUUGGUAUUUUGUACGCCUUCCUUCUCUUGGUCCUUUCGACCUCUCUCUUCAUGAGAAGGCGAAAGACGAGACCCGAGGACAAGUAUAAAGUCCCACCUGGUUCCAUGGGGUGGCCUUACGUAGGAGAGACCCUUCAGCUCUACUCAGAAGACCCCAGUGUGUUCUUCGCCAACAGGCAGAAGAGGUACGGCGAGAUCUUUAAGACGCACGUCUUGGGUUGCCCCUGCGUGAUCCUGGCCAGCCCGGAGGCGGCCAGGUUCGUGCUGGUGACACAGGCUCAUCUGUUCAAGCCGACGUACCCGAGGAGCAAGGAGCGGUUGAUCGGCCCCUGGGCGCUCUUCUUCCACCAUGGCAGCUACCAUAUGCGGCUGAGGAAGCUUGUACAGGGCUUGUUGUCCCCGAAUGCGCUUCACGGGCUCGUCCCCGACAUCGAACGCAUAGUAAUCUCCAUGUUGGAAUCAUGGGUUGGUUUGGAAGCCAGAACCUUCCAUGCAAUGGAGAAGCUAUCUUUCGAUGUGGGUGUCCUUACGAUCUUUGGGGACCGGCUGGAGGAGCGGCACAAAGUAGAGCUGAAGAAGAAUUACUUAAUCGUUGACAAGGGCUACAAUUCUUUCCCCAUGUACCUUCCCGGCACUCCGUACCACAAAGCAAUCGUAGCAAGGAAACGUUUGCACGGUGUACUGAGUGAGAUCAUGAACGAGAGAAGGAAGAGAGGAGUGCGGGAGAAUGAUCUGUUGGGCUGUCUCAUCGACUCUAAGGAUGACAGCGGAGAGCACCUGAACGAUGACCAGAUCGCCGACAACAUCAUCGGCGUCUUAUUUGCCGCACAGCACACGACGGCCAGUGUCAUGACAUGGGUCCUAAAGUUCCUCCACGACGACCCAAAGCUUCUUGAAUCCGUCAGAGCCGAGCAAACGGCGAUACAGGAGGCGAACGAGUUUGGAAGUCGACCCUUGACGUGGGCCCAAACGAGAAGCAUGUCCCUGACUCACAAGGUCAUAUCGGAGAGCUUGAGGAUGGCAAGCGUCAUCUCUUUCACGUUCAGGGAGGCAGAGGCCGAUGUGGAGUACAAAGGAUACCUUAUCCCAAAGGGCUGGAAGGUGAUGCCUUUGUUCAGGAACAUACAUCACAAUCCGGACUUCUUUCAAGAACCCAACAUGUUCGACCCUUCUAGAUUCGAGGUUGCUCCCAAGCCCAAUACCUUCUUGCCAUUUGGGAACGGAGUUCACGCUUGCCCCGGCAAUGAAAUGGCCAAACUGGAAAUGCUUAUUUUGAUCCAUCAUCUGGUGACCAAAUACAGGUGGGAGACUCUGGGACACCAAGGUGAGAUCGAGUACUGCCCAUUCCAUGUGCCGAAGCAUGGCCUUCCUGCCAGGUUGUGGAGAGCCUCCGGCAGCUGCGAAGCAGGAGAAUGACGUUGCUCGCUGCAAGCAAUCCAGUUAGCUUAGCUUCUACAUUGGCCCUAAGUGCAAAUCCCGUCAAAGGAGAGGAUAACGAGUGUUGUAGCCAUGUGACACCAUUCUCGACACGUCGUCCCCACGUCGUAUGAGGUGUGUUUGUGAUCGCCAUGUGUCGCGGUUUGUGGUGCCGCAGGUCAACGUGGUCUUCCGUCAGCCGCCCUUGGAGAUCCGAGGGGUCACAGGUAUGGGGGAGGGGGGAAGGGUGCGGACGCUUUGAGGGACAGUACAUGACGUGCAUGACUCCGAGAUGUGUGGACAAUGGAAUAGUGACGGUGGGUCUGUCUCCGGUGGAGAGAUGGACCAACGUCCUGGAAACAGCACGUUCGGGCAACAGCAUCACCAGCCUCGUGUCACUUUUGGCUCAGCCCACCACCCUAUGCCUGAGAGAAGCCUCUGGAACGAGGCAAUCGUCGUCAGAAUCACACCACCGUCGGCGUCACUCGAGAAGGGGGUUCAUGAAGCCUAAGCAGGAGUUGCAACACAUAGUGCUUGCUUCGUACCACGAUGUGGUGGGAAGUCGCGUCUAUCACUGUUCCCUGUCAUAUCAAACGGGUAUGGAUUGAUAAAUUAGGGUUGAAUUGUGCUCGUGGGGCACUGGGAAUACAUCAUCCAGCUUGCCUUCAACAGGAUAAAAAAAUAUGUAUCCAAAGUCAUGCCUCAAAGAAGUUGUACAUCUUGCACACAAUCCUUCAUGUUCACAUCUCACGAGAAAAUCGAUGAGAUGUGUCAUGUUGUGCUGCUGCUGCAAGUCCAGUCCGACGUUAACUUUCUUGUAUCACUUUCAGGACUUUACAGACGAUAUCAACGAAAGCAGUAACAUCUAAA